GACAGAGGUGGCAAGCGUUGCUCGGAUUCACUGGGCUUAAAGGGCGCGUAGGCGGCUUUGUAAGUCCGAGGUGGAAUUCCACAGCUUAACUGUGGAACUGCCUUGGAAACUGCAAGGCUUGAGUCAGGUAGAGGGAGGCGGAAUUCCCGGUGUAGCGGUGAAAUGCGUAGAUAUCGGGAGGAACGCCGAAGGCGAAAGCGGGUUCCUGGGCCUAUACUGACGCUGAGACGCGAAAGCUAGGGGAGCAAACAGG
rnacentral:rRNA from 1 species